rnacentral:rRNA from 1 species
UGCAAGUCGAGCGCGGCCCUCGGGGUCGAGCGGCGGACGGGUUAGUAAACGCGUGGGAACGUAACCCUCGUGGUAGGGAAUAGCCACUGGAAACGGUGAGUAUACCCUAUGAGCCCUUCGGGGGAAAGAUUUAUCGGCCAAAGGAUCGGCCCGCGUUAGAUUAGGUAGUUGGUGGGGUAAUGGCCUACCAAGCCUACGAUCUAUAGCUGGUUUUAGAGGAUGAUCAGCAACACUGGGACUGAGACACGGCCCAGACUCCUACGGGAGGCAGCAGUGGGGAAUCUUGGACAAUGGGGGGCAACCCUGAAUCCAGCCAUGCCGCGUGAGUGAAGAAGGCCUUAGGGUCGUAAAGCUCUUUCGCCUGUGAAGAUAAUGACGGUAGCAGGUAAAGAACCCCGGCUAACUCCGUGCCAGCCGCCGC